GAUGAACGCUGGCGGCGUGCCUAAUACAUGCAAGUAGAACGCUGAAGGAGGAGCUUGCUCUUCUGGAUGAGUUGCGAACGGGUGAGUAACGCGUAGGUAACCUGCCUGGUAGCGGGGGAUAACUAUUGGAAACGAUAGCUAAUACCGCAUGACAACAGUUAUUGCAUGAUAACUGUUUAAAAGGGGCAACUGCUCCACUACCAGAUGGACCUGCGUUGUAUUAGCUAGUUGGUGAGGUAACGGCUCACCAAGGCGACGAUACAUAGCCGACCUGAGAGGGUGAUCGGCCAAACUGGGACUGAGACACGGCCCAGACUCCUACGGGAGGCAGCAGUAGGGAAUCUUCGGCAAUGGACGGAAGUCUGACCGAGCAACGCCGCGUGAGUGAAGAAGGUUUUCGGAUCGUAAAGCUCUGUUGUAAGAGAAGAACGAGUGUGAGAGUGGAAAGUUCACACUGUGACGGUAUCUUACCAGAAAGGGACGGCUAACUACGUG
rnacentral:rRNA from 1 species